ACUCAGCUGACGAAUUCCAAAUAGGACGAAACGCGAGUCCUGGAU
rfam:Schistosoma haematobium scaffold147_46, whole genome shotgun sequence.